AACGACUUGAUUUUCGGGAGUUUGAAGUGAGGUAUCACGAUUCAUAACAAAUAUGUAGUCCAAAUGGCCCUGGUAAGCAUGAGCCCAAUUGGUAAAUGCUGGAUGAUCAAACGUAUUUUUUGCAUUUUCUGGGUGAACCAGUUUAUAGCCCACUGAAUAAAGACUGAAAAGUACGGGAUUUUGCUCGUGCUGCUGAUAAAAAGAACGGUAGUGAGGUACAUAGUCAUUUUGUACAUGCAAAAUUCUCUUUUUUGGGGUAGAAGCUGUGGAUUCGGGAACACUUGAGGUAGAAGAGGAUUGACAUUCUUCUUUGUCAUCUUCAUUGGAAUCAUUUUCUGUCUUAGUACUAGCAUUUUUUUCUUCCAACUCAGAUUCCCCAAAUACGUAAUUCAUACUACGUUCUAUAAUGUCAGUAGCCCUUUGGCAGAUGGAUAGAGGGCGGGUAGUUAGCGCAGGAAAGUUGGUAUCGAACGGUUCAGUGUUGAAGUCACCAGCUAUAAAAACAGGCCAAGAAGGAUGACUUUGUGCCAUCUUGUUUACUUCCUUUACCAAUAUUGCACCUUGGCGUAACCUUUCGUAAGAGCCGUAAGGAUGCCAAAAUAAAUGUGUAGUAGCCAAGAACAACCCUCUGCUCGGGUCAUCUACCCUUUCAAGGCGUACACAACAACCGAUGUUCUUGGUGUUCAUUCUACCUGGUAAUUCAUCAUGAUCAUCGUAAUAAAUAGUCAAAUCUUGCACCUUUUUGAACAAAGAGGAUUUCCAAAA